rfam:Oryza sativa (indica cultivar-group) chromosome 7, whole genome shotgun sequence.
CCAAAAACAAACCAUAGAUUUCCGUGUCCAACGUUUGACCAUCCGUCUUAUUUAAAAAAAAUUAUGAAAAAAAAUUAAAAAGAUAAGUCACGUAUAAAGUACUAAUCGUGUUUUAUCAUCUAACAAAAAUAAAAAUAUUAAUUAUAAAAAAAUUUCAUAUAAGACGAACAGUUAAAUGUUGGGCACAGAAAUCUAGGGUUUGUCAUUUU